rnacentral:misc_RNA from 1 species
GCCUAAGCACAUGGCCCAAAAGACAUUACCACCAUACUUGAACUUGCCAAUCUACCAGAAUCUGAUGUUGGAAGUGUUGGAAUCUUGUUGGACCACCACUACCAAAAUACCUAUCAGUAAUACUUCUAUUUUCAACAUUAUUCUUAUUAAAUUCCUCUCCUCAUACCUUAUUUUUGACCCUCUCACAUUCUUACCCGAUCCAUUUACCUACCCAACUCCUUUGUCUCUAGGUUAUCUGUGUUUCUUUUCCCUUUUUUUAAUAACAAUAGUAACAAUGCUUUCUGGGUUGGUUUUUGGGUUUCCAGAAUCUGGUUGUGUUUUAUGUCCUAGCAAAUCAUCAUAACUUUGUAAAGGGUGACCCAG